rnacentral:rRNA from 1 species
AGAGUUUGAUCCUGGCUCAGGACGAACGCUGGCGGCAUGCCUAACACAUGCAAGUCGAACGGGAUCCAGGCUUCGGCCUGGUGAGAGUGGCGGACGGGUGAGUAACGCGUGGGAACCUGCCCAAUGGUCUGGGAUAACCGCGGGAAACUGCGGCUAAUACCGGAUAAGCCCGAGAGGGGAAAGAUUUAUCGCCGAUGGAGGGGCCCGCGUCCGAUUAGGUAGUUGGUGGGGUAAUGGCCUACCAAGCCUACGAUCGGUAGCUGGUCUGAGAGGAUGAUCAGCCACACUGGGACUGAGAUACGGCCCAGACUCCUACGGGAGGCAGCAGUGGGGAAUAUUGGACAAUGGGGGCAACCCUGAUCCAGCAAUGCCGCGUGAGUGAUGAAGGCCUUAGGGUUGUAAAGCUCUUUUGCCAGGGACGAUGAUGACGGUACCUGGAGAAUAAGCCCCGGCUAACUUCGUGCCAGCAGCCGCGGUAAUAC